AACGAACGCUGGCGGCAUGCCUAACACAUGCAAGUCGAACGAGACCUUCGGGUCUAGUGGCGCACGGGUGCGUAACGCGUGGGAACCUGCCCUUAGGUUCGGAAUAACUCCCCGAAAGGGGUGCUAAUACCGGAUAAUGUCUUCGGACCAAAGAUUUAUCGCCUUUGGGUGGGCCCGCGUUGGAUUAGCCAGUUGGUAGGGUAAAAGCCUACCAAGGCGUCGAUCCAUAGCUGGUCUGAGAGGAUGAUCAGCCACGCUGGGGCUGAGGCACGGCCCAGACUCGGACGGGAGGGAGCAGUGGGGAAUAUUGGGGGAGGGGGGAAGGCCUGAUCAAGCAAUGCGGGGGGAGUGGGGAAGGGGGUAGGGUUGUAAAGCUCUUUUAGCCGGGAUGAUAAUGACAGUACCGGGAGAAUAAGCACCGGCUAACUCCGUG
rnacentral:rRNA from 1 species